CUGGUUACCAACUUCCGGUACAGAAGAAGAAGAAGGAGGAGGAGCAGGAGGAGCUCCUGAAACAGGCGGUAGAAGCUAACGUUAGCAUCAUCUGUCCGACGGAGACAUUUCAGUCGGUUUAUUUUGAUAUUUUAAUGUUUAAAUGUUUAAACGUUAACGAGCCGCUAACUGCUAAGUGCUAACUGCUAACAGCUAAGAGAGGAGAAAACACAGUGACGAGUCUCUGGUGUCUCUGAUAUGAGCAGCUCUGUUCAGAGGAAGAGGAGGACCACAGGAAGUCCUCUGGUGUCCAGACCCAGCACCAAGACCAGCAGAGGGACAAACACUCGGAGGACGGCCAGCAGAGCAGCGAGCAGGACGGCUGAUGGUGACCCUGACCCCGACCCCCCCACAGAGACUGUCGACGUGAUGGACAACGCAGAGGACAGUGUGGAGGAGGUGGUGGAUCUGACCUGUGAGGGCUCAGAGGCUGCCGUGGUCGACCUGACCAACAACGACUCAGUGCUGCUGGUGGACGAAGGUCCUCAGAACAGGAGAGUCACAACAGGAGAGAGUUAUGUCGUCAGCAGUGAUGAAGAUGACGACAUGCCCUCUGUCCUCAACGCUGCAAUGAUGUCCUCUGUACACAGCAACAGCUCCUCCAGGUCGACCCCGGGGACGAUCAGCUGUCCCGUGUGUCUGGACUCGUACUCUGAGAUCGUCGAGAGCGGCCGAUUGGUUGUUUCCACUAAAUGUGGUCACGUGUUCUGCAGCCAGUGUCUGAGAGACGCUCUGAAGUCAUCACACACCUGUCCCACCUGCAGGAAGAGACUGACCCCCCGCCAGUACCACCCUCUCUACAUCUGACAUCACUCUGACAUCAUCAUUACACAUCUACACCUGUACCACCCCCUCUAUGUCUCUGACAUCAUCACACACCUGGGCCCUGACUGUACCGCCCCCUCUACAUCUGACAUCGCUCUGACAUCAUCAUCACACACCUGAGUCACAGUGAAGUGGAGCUACAGCUCCAGCUGGACGAGGACAUCUAACUGGCCUACUGUCCUUGUCCCAGUAUACAAGCACGGGAGGGGAAUCCAUUUAUUGAGCCAAGUAUGUGCGACUCCUCUACGAUAGGUGGAGAUAUGCCCCCUUUCAGCUUGUUAGUAUUGGACCUUUUUCCUGUUGACCUAUUACGUCACAGACCAAACAAUGGACAAACAAGUUAGCUACGGUUAGCUAGCAGCUAACUGGUACCAUGGUGGACAACUUUACAGCUCUGUACAUUUGGUCCGUCCAAAAAGUCACGGCUCUGGAUGUAGAUUUCUCCAUGUUGUUACCAGCUUCUUCUUCUCUUACACAUUUAAUGCUAUUGGACUUCUGGUUCAAAGCCCGGGGCGGAAACUGUGGAGCAUGCUCAGAGCGCCUCGGCCAGUUUCGGUCUGAUUGACUGUAUACAUGCACACUCAGUCACACACUGACAUGUGUGACUGAGUGUGUGUCUGUGACUGAGUGUGUGUCUGUGAUCAGACCAACACAGCUGUGAUGGUACACAGUCGUGUGUGCAGGAAGUACAGCAGGGGACCAAGAACGCAGCCCUGAGGUGCUCCUGUGUGAGGGAUGAGGGUGGAGCUUCUCUUCCAGGUGAGACAGGGUGUGUGGAGGAUGCUGCUGUAGAGUCUCUGUAGAUCGGUUGGGUCAGUCCUCACCACAGAGGUGACAGCUGCUCACCGUCGUCACUCAGGCAGGUUGGUUUUGUUUUCUUGGUCACAGGACUGAUGGAGGACUGAUGGAGGACUUCUUAAAGGACGUGGUUCUGACACACUGAGCCUGUGGGCGGUUCAAUAUUGUUGUGAACACAGGUGUUAGCGGUUCAGCACCUAGUUUGAGGACACGCCCACUGUUACAGUCUGGAUUGAUUUGAUUGAUUUUGCUCUUCAGCCACGUCUGAACGCCGUACAGCAGUGAUCCAGUGUUUGUUCUCCUUGAGGUUUACAUGUAGGCGGAGCUUCAUGGAAGUCUCCAAUAACAACGAGCGCAGCGUCAGGAUGAUCAGCUUCAGAGUGAUUUAGGAACGUUGUCAUAGCGACUCUGAGCGAGGAAGGUUCAGAAACUGGUGUGGUCAACCCUUUUGUACGGUGUGAUGUGAUUGGUUGUCAGAGACACGCCCCUCUGUGAGGCUGGAAGGUGUGAGGACACCCAGUGGACAUGAGAUGAACUGCAGACUGUCAGUGUUAGUGUGAUCACUGCUGAUGAAGGCUGAGACAGACUCAACUCAUCACUGCUGCUCUGACCUCACAUACCUCAGUGAUGAUGUCAUCAUUUUGUUUCUGACGUCACAGUGUCAGGUGCGUGUAUCUCUGAUGAGAUCGACCACAAAUAUUAUCGAUCUAAUCUGUAGUGUUUCAUGUCCUCACUGUCAUCCAGUGUUUGGAGAAUAUUUCUGUGACCUCUUUGUGUUCCCACCAUUUUCUCCUCUGAUUCACAAACUCUUAAACUCCUCCUCCUCCUCCUGCUCCUGCCCCUCCUCCUGCUCUGACUGGUUUCUCCUCAGGAGCUCUUUAAGGUCUUGAAGAAGCGAAAAUUGGUGCCUGGAAGUGGGCCAGAUGGCUCCCGACCUCGUCCUCUACUUUUGUUGUAGAUCGUCCUCUGAGUUGAUUUAGUACCUUAGGUUCAGUUGGCUGACACUUAGAGAAACACUGGAGUCAAAUAUAAUCUGGUGCAAUUGAGUUUAAUGUGUUCACAAGCUUCAACACAUACAACUCUGAGUCAGGCUCCGGAGCAAGACUAAGUUUCACUUUCUGCGCUCUCCCUUUUAUGCUGGUGAAGAUUCGAGAGAAUCUCCACCCUUUUUCUUUAGUCCUUCCUACCUGUGUUCAAAUCUAUUGGUGGCAGGUCUUUUUCUUUUUAGCCCUUUUCCAUCUGGUCCAAAUCUAUUGGUGGCAGGCCCCUUGGGCCCUUGUCCAAACAUGACCUAAUAGUGUAAUCCCUGGGCCCAAAUUCUCCCACCAUUAGAUUUGAGCCUGGUUUCACUUUAUUUUUUAAAAACAUAUGAAACCUGGGCACUUUCUCUAUACAGUCCCCUGUGCUUUCGUGCAAUGUGAACUCUUAGAGUGUGUGUCAUGCAAUACAAACGUUAGAGUGUGUGUGUUAUUAUUAAACAGUACAUGGUGUGGUAUAUGUGUGCUCUUCAAUAUGAAUACAUAACCUUGUGUUAUGAAUACAUAUACUUGUAUAACAGUGUUUUAUCACACAUAGAUGCAUAACAAACAGUUUUAUUGGAACUUAUACAUAAAACAUGGUUAUAUAACAUUUACUCUUAAUCAACUUAUGCAGUAUAACGCCUUUACCUGAUUAAAGAUUAAAUCUUACACUACAGUCUGAGACGCUCUGUGA